rnacentral:rRNA from 1 species
UCGCCUGUUUAUCAAAAACAUGGUCUUUUGUUUAUAUAAAAGAUUUGGCCUGCCCAAUGAUUAUUUUAAUGGCUGCAGUAUUUUGACUGUACAAAGGUAGCAUAAUCAUUUGUCUUUUAAUUGAAGUCUGGUAUGAAUGGUUAAAUGAAAAAUUUACUUUCUUUAUUUUAAAUAUAAAAUUUGAUUUUUGAAUUAGAAAGUUUAUAUGUUUUUAUGGGACGAGAAGACCCUAUAGAACUUAACUUCCCCCAUUAUAAUUAUUUACUUGUAAAUAAUUAUUUAUUAUUCUAGGGGAAGUUUUAUUGGGGUGAUAAAAAAAAAUUUUUAACUUUUUUUAUUUAUUUCAUUUAUUUAUGAAUUUUUGAUCCUUUAUUAUGGAUAAUAAGAUUAAGUUACCUUAGGGAUAACAGCGUUAUUGUUUUAGAGAGUUCAUAUUGAUAAAAUAGUUUGCGACCUCGAUGUUGGAUUAAAAUUAGUGUCAGGGGUAGAAUAUUGAUUACUAGGUCUGUUCGACCUUUAAAUUUUUACAUGAUCUGAGUUCAAACCGGAGA